rnacentral:rRNA from 1 species
UGACAGUCGAGCGGUAGCACAGAGAGCUUGCUCUCGGGUGACGAGCGGCGGACGGGUGAGUAAUGUCUGGGAAACUGCCUGAUGGAGGGGGAUAACUACUGGAAACGGUAGCUAAUACCGCAUAACGUCGCAAGACCAAAGUGGGGGACCUUCGGGCCUCAUGCCAUCAGAUGUGCCCAGAUGGGAUUAGCUAGUAGGUGGGGUAACGGCUCACCUAGGCGACGAUCCCUAGCUGGUCUGAGAGGAUGACCAGCCACACUGGAACUGAGACACGGUCCAGACUCCUACGGGAGGCAGCAGUGGGGAAUAUUGCACAAUGGGCGCAAGCCUGAUGCAGCCAUGCCGCGUGUAUGAAGAAGGCCUUCGGGUUGUAAAGUACUUUCAGCGGGGAGGAAGGCGAUAAGGUUAAUAACCUUGUCGAUUGACGUUACCCGCAGAAGAAGCACCGGCUAACUCCGUGCCAGCAGCCGCGGUAAUACGGAGGGUGCAAGCGUUAAUCGGAAUUACUGGGCGUAAAGCGCACGCAGGCGGUCUGUCAAGUCGGAUGUGAAAUCCCCGGGCUCAACCUGGGAACUGCAUUCGAAACUGGCAGGCUAGAGUCUUGUAGAGGGGGGGUAGAAUUCCAGGUGUAGCGGUGAAAUGCGUAGAGAUCUGGAGGAAUACCGGUGGCGAAAGCGGCCCCCUGGACAAAGACUGACGCUCAGUGCGAAAGCGUGGGAGAGCAACAGGAUUAGAUACCCUGGUAGUCCACGCCGUAAACGAUGUCGAUUUGGAGG